rnacentral:lncRNA from 1 species
GUAAACAUUUAAAUGUUCAGAAGGCAACACUUAAACUUGUUUUUUUUCAGUCAAUCCAAAGUAGCAACUUUUUAGUUGCUGGCAACUGAAUACCCAGAGUAAUGGAGAUUUUUGGACUUGAGGACGUGAACAACUUAAAAAAGGAAAACUUAUUCCCCACUGGGAAAGAAUGGGUCAACAUGGAUUUUAUUCAUUGUGGUGCCCAUUUCAAAACUUUUCUUGC